UAUUUAUUGAACCUGCUGCCUCUGGAGCACUGGGGUGUUGUGGAAACUGGGCAUCCUGGUUGCUGUUACGCUGUGUUGGCAGGGGCCGGGUGACUCCUCCCGUCUGGAACCGAUGGCUCGGGAGCGCACAGAUGCCACCGUGUUCCUGGGAGCUCCAGGUGACCCACCCACCUCUUGUGGUGCUGCUCAGGUGGCUGAUUCCAGUCAAAGCAGCAGAUGCUUGUGCUGUCCUUUGCCAUUCCACGGGAGAGCUGAGGUACCACGAACUCAUGACCUGAGCCUGCAGCAGAUUUCCCACGUCAGUGACUUGCCAGUCCUGUUCCUUCCAGAUGAGACAAACUGAAGUUUGAUCCUGAGACAAAUGCUGUCCUGAGUAUAGAGUGGCUUCACAACCAAGAUCUGUUGUCACGAGUUUGCCACAGAGGGGUGUGUUGAAGGAAAUGCCAAGGCAGCUGCUGACUACGUUGCGUGAGCAGUGUGGGACGUUCUGGGUAACUUGUGAAGAGCCCAAGGAAUUCCAUUCUUUCCCAAGGUCCUUAUGGUCUCAGAUGCCUACAGGAACAUGGGCUUGGGAGUGGAAAAGGUGUCAGAAGUGAGAGGGGACCAGCUCAACUUCCAUGUGGGAAGGGCACAAACGGCUCCCUAAAAACACAGCAGCCCCUCUGAGUAUCUGCUGGAGGCUUUUAAGGAAAAUUGCUGCUCCCAGGAAAAAAGGCCUUUGGACCUGAGGACAUGAUGUUGUUUGGAGCUCUGAAAUUUGCUCCUUUCAACUGGUCUGUGCCUGUGGAAGAACCUGUUGGUUUUCCCAGCUGUGUAAGUCUUAUCCUGCAUGUUGCAGAGCAGUUGCUCCCAUUCAGGGUGAGUAAACCAGUUCUGGAACAUUUAUCUCCUUGCAGAUCCUCAUUAUUCAGUAUGAUUUGAGCAUGCUGUGAAAAACACUGAAGCUCUUCAGUUCCUGUGCUGUAAUGGGGGGAUGUACAGGCUUGUCCUGACAGUCCUGGGACGUGAAACUCUAUGAUAAUAACCCCAGGUGCCACCUAUUGCUGUUAUCCUGAGCUGGUGCUGGAGCCGCAGCUGCUUGAAGAAAUGAAUUUGUUUGCUCAAAGAAUGUAAAUAUACCAUAUUUGUAUAUUAGUGUCUUUUGAAGUCAUUCAAAUUCCACUGAAAAAUUCUGCAGAAAGUUCUUUAGGUAACUGCCAACUCUUAGACUCAUUUAUGCACUUCUGGUUGACAAAAACACCUUUCAGAGAGCUGUGUGUGUUUUGUUGAUGUGCAGUCAGCUCUGCAGGCUGCUUGUUACCUGUUCUUGGCAAUAUUUCUGCCUGAAAUCCUUGUGUAGUCCCAGGCUACAAUGUCACUUCAAGUGGGGCUUCGAAAGACCAGCAACAGGACUGAUCUGGCCUGCAGAACAUGGCAGGCAGCUGGAAUCUAAAUUACUGAAAGUACU